CAGUAGCCGCGGGAAUACAGAGGGUGCAAGCGUUAAUCGGAAUUACUGGGCGUAAAGCGCGCGUAGGUGGUUUGUUAAGUUGGAUGUGAAAUCCCCGGGCUCAACCUGGGAACUGCAUUCAAAACUGACUGACUAGAGUAUGGUAGAGGGUGGUGGAAUUUCCUGUGUAGCGGUGAAAUGCGUAGAUAUAGGAAGGAACACCAGUGGCGAAGGCGACCACCUGGACUAAUACUGACACUGAGGUGCGAAAGCGUGGGGAGCAAACAGGAUUAGAUACCCCAGUAGUCCCUGUCUCUUAUAC
rnacentral:rRNA from 1 species